rnacentral:rRNA from 1 species
CGGGUGAGUAACGCGUGGAUAACCUGCCUUACACUGGGGGAUAACACUUAGAAAUAGGUGCUAAUACCGCAUAAGCGCACAGAGCCGCAUGGCUCAGUGUGAAAAACUCCGGUGGUGUAAGAUGGAUCCGCGUCUGAUUAGCUGGUUGGCGGGGUAGAAGCCCACCAAGGCGACAAUCAGUAGCCGGCCUGAGAGGGUGAACGGCCACAUUGGGACUGAGACACGGCCCAAACUCCUACGGAAGGCAGCAG